CAACAGCGUAUAUUAAAGUUGUUGCAGUUAAAACGCUCGUAGUCGGAUUUCGGGGCGGGCGGGCCGGUCUGCCGAUGGGUAUGCACUGGUCUGGCCGUCCUUCCUUCCGGAGACCGUGCGUGUUCUUAACUGAGUGCGCUCGGGAGACGGAUCGUUUACUUUGAAAAAAUCAGAGUGUUUCAAGCAGGCAGCUCGCUCUUGCAUGGAUUAGCAUGGGAUAAUGAAAUAGGACUUUGGUGCUAUUUUGUUGGUUUCGAACACCGAAGUAAUGAUUAACAGGGACAGUCAGGGGCACUCGUAUUCCGCCGAGAGAGGUGAAAUUCUCAGACCAGCGGAAGACGAACCACUGCGAAAGCAUUUGCCAGGGAUGUUUUCACUGA
rnacentral:rRNA from 1 species